UGGGGAAAUAUUGCACAAUGGGGGGAAACCCUGAUGCAGCGACGCCGCGUGAACGAAGAAGUAUUUCGGUAUGUAAAGUUCUAUCAGCAGGGAAGAUAAUGACGGUACCUGACUAAGAAGCACCGGCUAAAUACGUGCCAGCAGCCGCGGUAAUACGUAUGGUGCAAGCGUUAUCCGGAUUUUACUGGGUGUAAAGGGAGCGCAGGCGGUGCGGCAAGUCUGAUGUGAAAGCCCGGGGCUCAACCCCGGUACUGCAUUGGAAACUGUCGUACUAGAGUGUCGGAGGGGUAAGUGGAAUUCCUAGUGUAGCGGUGAAAUGCAUAGAUAUCACUCAGAACACCGAUUGCGAAGGCAUCUCGC
rnacentral:rRNA from 1 species